AGGUCCCCGCCUACACCAAGGACAAGCUCUGCAAUUUAAUUGACAAACGCAUUGGCCUUGAGAGGUUCCAAGACGCCAUUGGUGGGACCACUAGGCAUGAGAUUUACUCCAGGACUCUCAAACAUCCUCAGCCUUCGGCCAAACAUCCUAAGGACUUGCUCCUGGAUCACGAGUUCUGUCGGCUAUUGAAAAUUCUUGAAGGAGCUGUUUCCGAGUCCGUCAAAGGGAAUACUAGUUGUAAUGACAGUCCAAAGGAAAUUGGUAAUAGUGAUCCGAUGGUUGGGCAGUAUAAGGAUCUUAUUAGGGAACAGGAUGAGGAAAUUCAGAAACUUAAGAGGGAUAAUGAGAAUUUG